rnacentral:pre_miRNA from 1 species
GCACUAAGGGCUUGAUCCAAAGUCUAUUUAAGUUAAUGGAAAUCCUUCUAAUGACUUCAAUGGGCUUUGGAUCAGGCCCUAAAAUAC